rnacentral:rRNA from 1 species
AAUCAACGCUGGCGGCGUGCCUAAUACAUGCAAGUCGAACGCGAAAGUCCCGCAAGGGAUGAGUAGAGUGGCAAACGGGUGAGUAACGCGUGGGUGACCUGCCUUCGAGUGGGGGAUAACGUUCCGAAAGGGACGCUAAUACCGCAUGACAUCCUGCCUUUUAAGAGGUGGAGAGCAAAGCUGGGGAUCGCAAGACCUGGCGCUUGAAGAGGGGCCCGCGUCCGAUUAGCUAGUUGGUGAGGUAACGGCUCACCAAGGCGACGAUCGGUAGCCGGCCUGAGAGGGCGGACGGCCACACUGGGACUGAGACACGGCCCAGACCCCUACGGGAGGCAGCAGUAGGGAAUUGUUCGCAAUGGGCGCAAGCCUGACGACGCAACGCCGCGUGGAGGAUGAAGACCUUCGGGUCGUAAACUCCUUUCGAUCGAGACGAAUGGCCUCCGGGUGAACAAUCCGGAGGAGUGACGGUACCGAGAGAAGAAGCCCCGGCUAACUCCGUGCCAGCCGCCGCGGUAA